AUUUGUAUCUUCAAGCUUUGCUUGGUGUUGGGUGUUUGUCCUGCUCUAUGCGUGGACUCGCCUUAAAUCAAUUGGCAGCCGGCAAUCUGGUGUUAAGAGCGCAGCACAUUGUGCGCUCCUCGCUGUGUAUUGCGGCGUCCAUUAAGCCUAUAUUUUUUGCUCUUGACCUCGGAUCAGGUAGGGAUACCCGCUGAACUUAA
rnacentral:misc_RNA from 1 species